CAGUCGCCGCGGUAAUACGAAGGGGGCUAGCGUUGUUCGGAAUCACUGGGCGUAAAGCGCACGUAGGCGGAUACUUAAGUCAGGGGUGAAAUCCCGGGGCUCAACCUCGGAACCGCCUUUGAUACUGGGUAUCUUGAGUCCGGGAGAGGUUGGUGGAACUCCGAGUGUAGAGGUGAAAUUCGUAGAUAUUGGAAAGAACACCGGUGGCGAAGGCGGCAACCUGGUCUUUUACUGACGCUGAGGCGCGAAAGCGUGGGGAGCAAACAGGAUUAGAUACCCCUGUAGUCCCUGUCUCUUAUAC
rnacentral:rRNA from 1 species